AACAAGAUCAACAUUUAAGAUCCCUCAAUUCCUAUAGUGCAAUGGCAAUGAAAGUUGUGGUGGUGUUGUUUCUUGCAAUGCUUGUUUUCUUGGGCCAUAAUGCUAUGGCAGAAGAAUCUAAGGACCUAAUAUUGUGUCGAGCAUUAUGUGAAAUAACGUGCAAAGGAAAGCCUAAGUGCCUACCCAGAUGCAUCGCCAUAUGCCUUUCAACUGUAUCAGUUGAUACUAGUAAUGAGAUAAUGAGAAGUUUGGAAGUUGCAUGACAAGCUGCAGUGAGAACUAUUGCAUUGGCAAUGCUCUAGAGAAAAGCUUAAGAAGAAGCAUUAAUUUGCUCUAAGAAAUAAGUAAAACACUAUGUACAGUAUUAAAUACUUUGUGGUUGUAAUUUUCUAAAUUAUGUAAUUGUUAUGCACGCUUUUAUAUUGAAUAAAAAUCUAGUGCUUCUUGUUAAAGCACAAGAGAAGUUACUUUCUA